GACGAACGCUGGCGGCGUGCUUAACACAUGCAAGUCGAACGGUAAGGCCCUUCGGGGUACACGAGUGGCGAACGGGUGAGUAACACGUGGGUGAUCUGCCCUGCACUUCGGGAUAAGCCUGGGAAACUGGGUCUAAUACCGGAUAGGACCACUGCCUGCAUGGGUGGUGGUGGAAAGCUUUUGCGGUGUGGGAUGGGCGCCGCGGCCUAUCAGCUUGUUGGUGGGGUGAUGGCCUACCAAGGCGACGACGGGUAGCCGGCCGGAGAGGGUGACCGGUCACACUGGGACUGAGAUACGGCCCGGACUCCUACGGGAGGCAGCAGUGGGGAAUAUUGCACAAUGGGCGCAAGCCUGAUGCAGCGACGCCGCGUGAGGGAUGACGGCCUUCGGGUUGUAAACCUCUUUCAGCACCGACGAAGCGCAAGUGACGGUAGGUGCAGAAGAAGGACCGGCCAACUACGUGCCAGCAGCCGCCGUAA
rnacentral:rRNA from 1 species